rnacentral:rRNA from 1 species
GACGAACGCUGGCGGCGUGCUUAACACAUGCAAGUCGAACGGAAAGGCCCUGCUUUUGUGGGGUGCUCGAGUGGCGAACGGGUGAGUAACACGUGAGUAGCCUGCCCUUGACUUUGGGAUAACUUCAGGAAACUGGGGCUAAUACUGGAUAGGAGCUCCUGCUGCAUGGUGGGGGUUGGAAAGUGUCGGCGGUUGGGGAUGGACUCGCGGCUUAUUAGCUUGUUGGUGGGGUAGUGGCUUACCAAGGCUUUGACGGGUAGCCGGCCUGAGGGGGUGACCGGCGACAUUGGGACUGAGAUACGGCCCAGACUCGUACGGGAGGCAGCAGUGGGAAAUAUUGCACAAUGGGCGGAAGCCUGAUGCAGCAGCGCCGCGUGCGGGAUGACGGCCUUCGGGUUGUAAACCGCUUUCGCCUGUGACGAAGCGUGAGUGACGGUAAUGGGUAAAGAAGCACCAGCUAACUACGUG